rnacentral:rRNA from 1 species
AUUGAACGCUGGCGGCAGGCCUAACACAUGCAAGUCGAACGGUAGCACAGGGGAGCUUGCUCCCUGGGUGACGAGUGGCGGACGGGUGAGUAAUGUCUGGGAAACUGCCCGAUGGAGGGGGAUAACUACUGGAAACGGUAGCUAAUACCGCAUAACGUCUUCGGACCAAAGUGGGGGACCUUCGGGCCUCACACCAUCGGAUGUGCCCAGAUGGGAUUAGCUAGUAGGUGGGGUAAUGGCUCACCUAGGCGACGAUCCCUAGCUGGUCUGAGAGGAUGACCAGCCACACUGGAACUGAGACACGGUCCAGACUCCUACGGGAGGCAGCAGUGGGGAAUAUUGCACAAUGGGCGCAAGCCUGAUGCAGCCAUGCCGCGUGUAUGAAGAAGGCCUUCGGGUUGUAAAGUACUUUCAGCGGGGAGGAAGGCGAUGCGGUUAAUAACCGCGUCGAUUGACGUUACCCGCAGAAGAAGCACCGGCUAACUCCGUGCCAGCAGCCGCGGUAA